rnacentral:siRNA from 1 species
AUCAUACCAGAUAGAGCUCAUACU